CCAUCCCUAACAAUAAAAUUUGCACUUAUUGGUCAGCUAUCCAAACCUUAACUUAUAAUAGUUUGUACCUCUCUUGGGCACUCACCAAGCAAUGCCACUUACAAUUUUACUAUUCUUGAUUAUUAUAUUUACUAUAUACAACAUGAAAGUCAUAAGUCUUUUUUUUGCUUUUGUUGAGGGAAAAUGAAAGCAUUACAUAGGGGCA
rnacentral:lncRNA from 1 species